UAUCUGUUAACGCAGGCCACAAGGGAAAGCAUGUAUAUGUUGGUGUUGGUAAAGGGAAAAGUAAAUCACCCUUCGAUUACAAGUAUGCUGCUACUGAGGAUCAGCUCCAUGAUGAUCCAAAUGUAGCUCUUUUCUUCUUUGAGAAGAACAUGCAACCUGGGACAAAGAUGGAGUUGCACUUCAUUAGGGAUGCAAAUCUAGCCACCUUCUUGCCUCGUCAAGUUGCCAACUCCAUACCUUUUUCAUCCAAAAAAUUCCCAGAAAUUCUGAACGAGUUCUCGAUAAAACCAGAAUCAGAAGAAGCUGAGACAAUCAAGAACACAAUCAGAGAGUGUGAGGAGCCUGGGAUUAAAGGAGAGGAAAAGUAUUGUGCAACUUCACUAGAAUCCAUGGUUGAUUUCAGCACCUCAAAG
rnacentral:lncRNA from 1 species